rnacentral:tRNA from 1 species
GUCGGGAUAGCUCAGUCGGUAGAGCACAGGACUCAUAAGCCUGGGGUCGUGGGUUCGAUCCCCACUCCCGACA